AGUAGUCUCCUAAGUAAAGAUAGAAAUGUUUUAUUAUUUUACAAAUACCUGUGUCACCUUAUUCUAGGUCCUGCUCCUAAAGCCCAGACCAUGUACCCAGCUGUACCUUGCUGACAAUGACAUUUACACUUCUUGUUAGUAGCAUCCCAUUCAAACACUCCCUAGGUCUCCAUUCAAAGUGGGUCAGGCAAGUUGUUGCAAGAGAAGAACACUAGUCAUUGUCCUAGAAAGGUGCUGGCACCAUCCCAUCCUCCCUGCCACAAAGAUCCUGAUUCUCCUUCCCUUCACUGGCAUCCUCAGGCAUCUUUCCACCACCUCGACCUGGGUGGGCAAGGGCAGCUUGUGCUGGGAAGUUCCUGUCCUGCAGACUGCUGCCAGUUUGUCUAGUUUUACCAUGGAGCAGAGCACAUGGGCCAGUUUUCAGGUUCAGAAGUUGGAGGGGUGAAGGGGAACUAACAACACAGUGCACAAUGUGACACUUCUUUUGAAAACUAAAGAUAUAAAAAAAUUUGAGAGGGAAAGGAGGAAUAGACAGAAGUGAUGCCACUCUCUAGCACCUGCUUAGCCAGUGCAAAUCUUAGGAGAGGCAAAAAGGUCUUUGUUUUUUACCAACUGCUGCCACAGAGGAACUGCAACGGGAAGCCUCUGUCACAAAUUGGGUGUUGUUCCAACCCAUUGUGGCUUCCCAAUGAGGAAAAGAAAAGGCUUAAUAUACUAAUACUGCACACUUAGGCUAUGCACAGCAGAUAAACUGCAAAUACCUAAAUAAAGCAAAAUUUCAAGAGGGAUGGAAAUUCAAAAGUUCCCAGAUGGAACAUUAACACAGUACAAAUUUUGUGUCUUCUUGAGUACUUUUGAAGAGCUCCUCUGUAAUCUCUUUUGCCUUUUUCCAGAGGAAUUCAGCAAAGAGCUCCUAAAACCUGCUAUUCCUUAUGUUAAUAACAGGCUUUUCUUAUUUAGAUCUCAAAAGACAGUGGAUCAGAGGAUCCCUGACUUGGGAAAGAGCUGGACAAACCUCAAGAGGAGCUGUUCUGAUUAGAUUUAGCUGCUAGGGAAGUACUGGUCCCACCAACAAAUAGCCAGGUUUUGACCCUCAGCUAUAUACAUUCAGUUCCAUUUUCAACUAUUUCUAAAAUGCAAAGCUGACUGCAACUCUAUCACCAGGAAAUUUUAAUUUAAGGAGUGAAGAUGUAAAAAGGUGUCUCUGCUCAUGGCAAGGAGGUUGGAAGAAGAUGAGCUUUAAGGUCCCUUCCAACACAAAUCAUUCUAUGAUUCUAUGAAUGCAUAAUUAGGUUAAUUAGCCUCCACAUCCAAAGUGUGUAAGCCAAAACCCCAAAUCCCUCCAGCUGGAACGAGUGAGGCAAUUUCUCUCAUUAUGGCUUCUACCACAGUAAUAUAUGGUGUUUUCAUUCCUAGCUAGUAAGAGGAUCUGAAGUAGCUGCUUAUGAGUAACGUGACCAUGCCAGCUGUUUACACAGCCAGGAGGCAGAGAUAAGUUUUCUACAAUGGACAGUUCUCAUCUCCUCCUGUUGAGCUGAUAAGUUUCAGUGUAGGCUGAGAGGCCAGAAAUAUUUUUAAGGCAGAAGAAAGACUCCUUUCUGCACCAUCACUGAAGAGGAACACUGUUUAAAGAAAAACAUCCAUCUUUACAGACAUGUCCUGUACCAAAGCUAAGCCAGCAAUCUCCUGCCAGCCUGGUCAAGAGAGGUCAGGCCAAGCAGUGCCAGGUACCACAGGACAGCAAGGUGGAGGAUUUGGAUGAACACAACAUUUAAGUCACAAAAAGAGAGAUCAUCCCAGGAAAGUCAACAGGAGGCACGUGAGCAUUGACAGACGUGUGGCUGAUUUACAGCCAGGAGGAGACCCUCGCGACAGGGGCUGCGACGCCCCGGAGAAUGGCAGCAGACCUUGUGCUCUGAGCCUCCAACCAAGUUCUAGCGUGCCUCUUGUCACUGAGAGGGGCACGUGCCUGCCAUCAGAACGGAAAGACUCCCUCUGUUGGCUCGGCCAUCCUCCCCACGGCUCCUGGGCCCUUGGAGCGGCCACAGAGCUGCUCCUGACGUCAGUCAGGAAGCACAGGUUUUGAAACAGCUUGUGUCCAUGUUGCCCUGCCUGGUGAGCUGCCUUGCUGGCUGGCUCUGAACAGACAGGCUUUCAGCAAACACACUAGUCCCUUCUUGCCUCCAGCCAAAAAGGCCAGCAGCCAAGAUGUACGUAUCAGCUUUCUGGAGCUCACAAGCUUUAGGAAACGAGGAUCAGGAUCCUGUAAUCAUGUUUCAGGUGUGGAAAGGCCACCCCUGCAAUGGUAGCACCGUUGUGCAGUUUAAAGCAGCUCAGCUAAGGAGCAGUCAAAGACUCGCCAUUCCUCAAACUCUGUCCUUGUGUAGUGAGAUCCUCACAAUGGCAUCCUGCCCCUGCAGUUCAGCAGUUAAAUCAAUACAGAGUGGAACAGUAGCUGAAGGUCUUCUGGGAACCAUUUUCACCAGCCCAUACUCCUGCCAACCCCUGCCACAACUGCCUAUGUGCUGAGGAAGAGGCAGGGAGGAUGGUGACCACCCAGCAGGACUGCCAAAAGCACCAGUUUGUUGGUCCAUCCCCUCAAAUGUGCCUGAUGGCCUGUGGAAGGGAUAUCAAAAUUGCUGGGCCAUGGCAAAUCAUCUCUUGGGGAUGCAGCAGCUCUGUAAUGACCCUCUCCAUACCUUCAUCUUGUCUCUGCUACUUGCCCUCUUUCUCAGAAUGUCUUAGGAAUAUGAUUUGACCAAAAUCACAGAAAACAGGAAACUACCUUCUUCCUUCUCCCCUUGCACUCUCCAUCUGCUAUCAGCUGUUCCUUCCCAGUAACUCCAAAAAAUAAGAGCAGAGCUGCAGACAAGGAAAAAUGAUCUUUUUAAGUGCAGGGGGGCCAGUGGGGAGGUCUGCAUUGCUCAAUGGCCAAGC